rnacentral:rRNA from 1 species
GAUGAACGCUGGCGGCGUGCCUAAUACAUGCAAGUCGAGCGAACGGACGAGAAGCUUGCUUCUCUGAUGUUAGCGGCGGACGGGUGAGUAACACGUGGAUAACCUGCCUAUAAGACUGGGAUAACGUCGGGAAACCGGAGCUAAUACCGGAUAAUAUUUUGAACCGCAUGGUUCAAAAGUAAAAGACGGUCUUGCUGUCACUUAUAGAUGGAUCCGCGCUGCAUUAGCUAGUUGGUAAGGUAACGGCUUACCAAGGCAACGAUGCAUAGCCGACCUGAGAGGGUGAUCGGCCACACUGGAACUGAGACACGGUCCAGACUCCUACGGGAGGCAGCAGUAGGGAAUCUUCCGCAAUGGGCGAAAGCCUGACGGAGCAACGCCGCGUGAGUGAUGAAGGUCUUCGGAUCGUAAAACUCUGUUAUUAGGGAAGAACAUAUGUGUAAGUAACUGUGCACAUCUUGACGGUACCUAAUCAGAAAGCCACGGCUAACUACGUG